rnacentral:rRNA from 1 species
CCUACGGGAGGCAGCAGUGAGGAAUAUUGGUCAAUGGGCUUACGCCUGAACCAGCCAAGUCGCGUGAGGGAAGACUGCCCUAUGGGUUGUAAACCUCUUUUGUCAGGGAGCAAUUGGCGCUACGUGUAGCGUUCUCGAGAGUACCUGAAGAAAAAGCAUCGGCAAACUCCGUGCCAGCCGCGGCGGUAUUACGGAGGAUGCGAGGGUUAUCCGGAUUUAUGGGGUUUAAGGGGUGCGGAGGCGGAAUGCCAAGUCAGCGGUAAAACCGCGGGGUUAAACCUCGCUUCGCCGUUGAAACUGGCGUUCUAGAGUGGGCGAGAAGUAUGCGGAAUGCGUGGUGUAGCGGUGAAAUGCAUAGAGAUCACGCAGAACUCCGAUUGCGAAGGCAGCAUACCGGCGCCCAACUGACGCUGAAGCACGAAAGCGUGGGUAUCGAACAGGAUUAGAUACCCUAGUAGUC